CGGAUCGGAGUCUGCAACCCGACUCCGUGAAGCUGGAUUCGCUAGUAAUCGCGCAUCAGCCAUGGCGCGGUGAAUACGUUCCCGGGCCUUGUACACACCGCCCGUCAAGCCAUGGGAGCCGGGGGUGCUUGAAGUGCGUCGCCGCGAGGCGCGCCCUAGAGCAAAACCGGUGACUGGGGCUAAGUCGUAACAAGGUAAC
rnacentral:rRNA from 1 species